AACUUUACCAAUAUCACAAAAUACAGAUUACAGAGUAAAAUACAGUCAGAAACAAAUAUCAAAUACGCGUAUUCAGCAAAAAAAAAAAUAUCAAAUACGCGAAAAGCAGAUGCUGCAGAUCGGACGACUAUGCUGAGGAGGCGUCACUGCACGAUGAUCAUCGGAAAGUUGGCAGCAGUGGCGUGGCGUCCUGUACACACUCAAACUCUCUCUCUUGACUCUUCAACACUGCAAUAUGCUAGCUCCACCAAGGGAGUGUCCAUGCACUUGGCAAACAGGUCUGAGCCAUCUUCAAAGAGCAAGACAGCGAGCCAAAAGGAAGAGAUGGAGGAAAUAUACUAGUGCUGCCUUUCUUUUGAGAAUGGGAGAUUUUGGGAAAAUAAAUAAUAAAUAAGUUGGCCGUCUAGAAGUCUUGAUGCACAAGAACUGUGUUCAAGAGUUCACACAAAAGUCAGCCAUUCCGCUGCCAAUAUAUGAAUCUAUAAAUGAGGGUUCGGAGGAUCGCACCUGACUGAAUGGAGUGGAGUACCUUACAUCUCUCCAAAUACUUUUUCAAAAUGUAAAACAGCAUUACAAAACGAUGCUGAACAUGCAAAAAGAGCAGAGAAAGUAAUAUCAGUCAAGGUGGUGCCAGAAAUAGGAAAAUCCUGUGAUUUCAGAUUCGACAACCUCAGAGCUAUGUAUGCGGCAGAGGCAAAGAAGAAGAGUGAGAGUUUGAAAAGGAGCAAAUAGAUAUUGUAUAUAGUUCUGAAGAAGUAAGAAGAAGAGUGUGAGUUUGAAAAGGAGGAAAUAAAUAUUGUAUAUUGUUCUGAAGAUCGAGGAUUAAAAUAGGAAAUUUCUUUAAAGUGAUUGGUUAAAUUUGUUUACAUUUACAGUUUCA